CAUUUUCCUAUUGGGAUCAACAACAGCUUCUGGGGGAGCAGUCACACGGUGCCGGUGUGCAGAUCUGGAGCUCGAAGGCUUUGCCUUAGUUGGGCUUGGGGACGAUGGAGGUGGCGCUGGCGGGGCCGGCGGCUGUGUGCAGAACGGGGGAAACAAUGCAGGUGGGAAUGGGAUCAUCAGGGUUCCAACGUAGCUCAGUCCGCCACGAGGACUCCGGCGACCGGCGAUGAUCCUAGAUGCUGCGAGAGGGCGAGGGCAAAGAAACAACGUGAGAGAGGGGAAACAAAUCAGGCGCGCGUGGGAGGGGAAAAAAAAGGGGAGGGCGGGCGCGGGAAGGAGGACGAUGGACGAGGGGCGAGGGCGAUUUUGGGAACUGAUGGGAGAUGUCGCGAGCGCAGGAACGAGGUCGAGGAACUCGCUCCAUAG
rnacentral:lncRNA from 1 species